rnacentral:rRNA from 1 species
CCUACGGGAGGCUGCAGUGGGGAAUAUUGCUCAAUGGGCGAAAGCCUGAUGCAGCAACGCCGCGUGAGCGAUGAAGGCCUUCGGGUCGUAAAGCCCUGUCCUCAAGGAAGAUUAUGACGGUACUUGAGGAGUAAGCCCCGGCUAACUACGUGCCAGCAGCCGCGGUAAUACGUAGGGGGCUAGCGUUAUCCGGAAUUACUGGGCGUAAAGGGUGCGUAGGAGGGUUAUUAAGUCAAAGGUUAAAUCCUACGGGUUAAACGCAGUACGGCUUUUGACAUUGGUACUUUGGAGUGAGGGAGAGGAAGGUGGAAUUCUUGGUGGAGGGGUAAAAUCCGGAGAGAUUAAGAGGAACACCAGUUGCGAAGGCGGCCUGCUGGACUAUUACUGACGCUGAUGCACGAAAGCGUGGGGAGCAAACAGGAUGAGAUACCCGGGUAGUC